rnacentral:sRNA from 1 species
CUUCCAGAGCGGACAGGCCAAAGUGCAGCAGGGCUUCCUGAAGGAGGGCUGUGAGCUCAUCAAUGAGGCCCUGAACCUGUUCAACAACGUCUACGGAGCGAUGCACGUGGAGACCUGCGCCUGCCUGCGCCUCCUCGCCCGCCUCCACUACAUCAUGGGCGACUACGCAGAGGCCCUGAGUAACCAGCAGAAGGCGGUGCUGAUGAGCGAGAGGGUGAUGGGCACCGAGCACCCCAACACCAUCCAGGAAUACAUGCACCUGGCCUUGUACUGCUUUGCCAGCAGCCAGCUGUCCACCGCCCUGAGCUUGCUGUACCGCGCCCGCUACCUCAUGCUGCUGGUGUUCGGGGAAGACCACCCCGAGAUGGCGCUGCUGGACAACAACAUCGGGCUGGUGCUGCACGGGGUGAUGGAGUACGACCUAUCGCUGCGCUUCCUGGAGAACGCGCUGGCCGUCAGCACCAAGUACCACGGGCCCAAGGCCCUCAAGGUGGCCCUCAGGUGAGGGGCCGCCCGCCCAAACUCCAAGGCCCGCGGAGGCCUGCGGGGCACCCG